AGUGAACGCUGGCGGUAGGCCUAACACAUGCAAGUCGAACGGCAGCACAGUAAGAGCUUGCUCUUACGGGUGGCGAGUGGCGGACGGGUGAGGAAUACAUCGGAAUCUACUUUUUCGUGGGGGAUAACGUAGGGAAACUUACGCUAAUACCGCAUACGACCUACGGGUGAAAGCAGGGGAUCUUCGGACCUUGCGCGAUUGAAUGAGCCGAUGUCGGAUUAGCUAGUUGGCGGGGUAAAGGCCCACCAAGGCGACGAUCCGUAGCUGGUCUGAGAGGAUGAUCGGCCACCCUGGAACUUAGACACGGUCCAGACUCCUACGGGAGGCCGCAGUGGGGAAUAUUGGACAAUGGGCGCAAGCCUGAUCCAGCCAUCCCGCGUGGGUGAAGAAGGCCUUCGGGUUGUAAAGCCCUUUUGUUGGGAAAGAAAAGCAGCAGGUUAAUACCCCGCUGUUCUGACGGUACCCAAAGAAUAAGCACCGGCUAACUUCGUG
rnacentral:rRNA from 1 species